rnacentral:rRNA from 1 species
UACAGAGGGUGCAAGCGUUAUCCGGAUUCACUGGGCUUAAAGGGCGCGUAGGCGGAUAGGUAAGUCCGCGGUGAAAUCCUGCAGCUUAACUGCAGAACUGCCGUGGAUACUAUCUAUCUUGAAUGUCGUGGAGGUUAGCAGAAUAUGUCAUGUAGCGGUGAAAUGCUUAGAUAUGACAUAGAAUACCCAUUGCGAAGGCAGCUAACUACGCGAUAAUUGACGCUGAUGCACGAAAGCGUGGGGAUCAAACAGG